AUGCAACACGGAGCUAAUUUGUUAGCCACCCGUACUUGUCUGCGCUGGUAUACUUUCGGCUGAUUAAACAAAAACAUUUGUAAUUUAUACUUUCGUCAGCUUUACGUUAGAACGAAAGAUAUAGUUACUUGUACGUUAAUUUAACAGUUAUAGAAAAAAGUGCCACACGCAACUACAAUUUCACAGCGCUUUGGGAUGUAGUUCACUUUGCCAAAUAGUAGGGUACAUGACCUUACUUCGUAUAGGUCUUAUCACUAAUGAUAUCGAAGUGUCAGUAUGUACGGCAAACUAAAGUACAUAAAUUAAGGCAACACAAUACAUGUGACAAAGUCACCAACAUACGUAUUAGUGUGUGAAUAUGCUACAGUCAUGUGUGGAACUGAGCCUACUGGAAAGUAUUUACAGUGAAGAUGUGGCAUUUGACAGGGAGCCAGAUAAUCUCAGAUACAUGACUAAGAUAGUUCCUCGUCUGAAACUUGGCCGUGGACUGACUGUCUCGUGACCAAAAAUCGGGCCC